rnacentral:lncRNA from 1 species
UUUUUCCACAAACAAGCACAAAUGUGGGGUAAAUAUUCAUCCAUCGGGUAACAGAAAAAACUAUCUCUCAGUUUAUAUGUAAAACUCUCCUCUACACUCACUUAUCUCGCAACGAAGUUGUAGAAACUUGCUAAGAGCUGACUGUGGAAACCAUUUCAUAUUCACUAAUGGCUUCCCGUUCAUCAAGCAGAGGAAGAAGGCGCCCCCGAGCCACCGCAGAAAAAACACGAGCGCUGCCACCUACCAAAUACACCUAUGAUUCCCCUUCUUUGUUAAGGAGAUUUGAAUUAUUAUUCUGUAGCUUUCAAAACAAAUAAGUGGAGAGCAAAAAUGUAUAAUUCUGAACGCUGAACAAGGAAGCUCCUCAUUCCUGAUAUGACACUGAUUAUUCAUGGGCUGAUGUUCCAUGAUCUGUUUUCUCUUAUUCAUCAUUUGUAAAGUUCGUAUUGCCUACCUACACGAGGACAAACCAGCACAAAAAGUUCAUAUUUUGUUUAAGAUCUCAUAUGCUCUUACCUACUCAAGGACCAAGCGUGUAACAAGGAAUUCUAGUUAUUGGCCUAAUGGAGAACCAACGAUAUGAUGUCAUUACCUCUACCAUGUAACCAAUUCUGCUCUUCUUCUAUAAAGAGCAGGCCUUCCCUAAGCCAAACAUGAAUAGCUCUUCAUCUGAUUUCUCUAGUGAAAUUGGUUAUUCCUAUUUCAUGCAUUAUUUAUUUGGUAUCUGCACACUACGGAUUAGAAUCUGAUAGGUGUAGGCAUGGGAGGCACCAGGAGCUAUAGAUGAUCGAUGGGUAACAAUAAUUGCUACAGUACACAGCCCUUAUGCCUCUCACCCGGACUUCACCACACGGCCCUCACGUCUCCCACUUCUACCCCACCACAUCUGAACUAUUUUUCACGUGGUCAUUGACUGGUGAUAUGUGGACCGGCUAGGUGAAAAGUUAAUUCAGGUAAAAUCUAUGUAUUCCGGGGUGGCGGCGCGGCACGGGGCAUCUGGAACUGGAAUGAUGGCAGCGGGCGACGAGGCAGCUGCGAGGUGAAGGUUCAUUGUGUUGCGUUCGCAUGGCAGCCAUAGUCAGAGGAGAUGUAUAUCUAUAUCAUCUGUGGCAAAAAAAAUGCCACAAACAAGCGCAAAUGUAAGGUAAAUAUCAAUCAGUCUGCCUGUGCUUGCUAUCACCCUGAGUUUUUGUCAUCUAUCACCAAAGCUACUUGUCAAAGAAAAUGCAGUUUCAGUUACCGCUCCCAGAUGAUGCAAAGUACUCCCUCCGCCCUACAAUAUAAGAGCGUUUUUGACACUACACUAGUAUAAAAAAAAGCUCGUAUAUUAUGGGACAGAGGGAGUAGGUGCGUGCGUAGUGCCACGGACGUCGGCAUUCUGUAUGAAGUUGCCCAUGACCAUGCGCAUGUCGUGCCUGGCGUCAUCGACCGAUAGCCAGCUAGCCCGCCCCCAAUGACUUUGUUGUUGCGUCUGCACGCGUCGGCGAUCGCCUUGUCAUCAUCAGAGGUUCCAAGUCUGUCUCUGAAAGAAUUCCAAGGUGCAGCAGUGUUCCUGCCAUCUUCAGAUUUCAAGGAUGGAAUGUAGUUUUGUUUAUAGUUUUGAGAUGCCACUGCAUGGAUUUUCUUUGUAUUUUCAUCCCAUACAUUAGCCAAUCUCAUAUCAACUAUUUUUCUCUGGUACAACCGCUUGGCUUCAAGCAGUUUACUAGUGUGGCAGGUAAGUGCUUUCUUUUGAUCUUCAAGCUACAUUGAUCAAUUGAUUUACUGAUCUGAGAAAGGUUCUUGCUCCAUCUUUUGAGCCAUCUUCUGGUGGCCUUAUACGUGGCAACAAUGUCCUGGGCAGGAUGGCUAUACAAGGCGGCAUUGUUCGUUCCAGUUAGUUUCGUCAUCAAUGUCAAGGAAACCAAUUGCAGCCACACAGUCAUGCAGAAUGGGUAGAGUAAUUGAGAUGCUCGUGGUAGUUAUUAGUAGUAAAAUUUGCAAAGCUUGUUUUUCAUGUCUCUCCCUAUCACACUUUUUUCUCUUUUCUUUUUAUUUAGUUUUCUUCUUCUUUUUUGUAUCAUUUUUCUCAUGUGUGUAUCUAGUCUGCUUUUGCUUUACUGUGUGUUAUUAGUAGUAAAAUGUGUCAAUUCUACUCUACUGGGAACGAGAAGUAGCACGCAAGGCCGAGUCAGGUGGGCCUCGGCCUAAGAUGUCGACGUCGUGGACAAUCAUGGCGUCGACAAUGAGGGAUCGGACGAGAACUUGCCGGAUGCGAGGCACGGGAGAUAGGGGAGAGAAAUCAGGUUGGGUGCAAUCUCCUAAAUAAAUGAUGAGGCAAAUUUUAUGCCUCCGUUUUGAAAAAAAAAAGAUGGUUGGAUGCAAUCGACUCAAACUGUGCUCUGUUCGUUCUAAUCCUAAAAACGGUUGGAGGAAGAAGAAACAUAUCUGGUCAUUGUUUUCUGAUCCAAUGAUUAAAAUGCAAUUGAUAGAAAUUGGAAAACAAUUAAGUCGCAUCAGGUUUAGGCGGUCCUUUUUAAUUAGCCGUUGCACAUCAUAAAAUUCUAGAAUAAUUGUGAAAGGUGGUCGUGACUAUGCUAGUUUAAACAAUUAUUCAAAUUUAGACAAUGAGGAGAAGGGGAAUCUUUUGAGAUUUUUCAUGAAGUUCAGUCUAGAAAAUAAUAAUGAAGAGGACGUCCUCGAGGUGAAACUUAUGACCGAUUUAUCUCCCCAAGAGACAUGAAUGGUAUAAUUAACACAUUGAGUUAGAAAAUACUAGUAUCAAUUAGGCGAAUUUGUACCUCUUUUCUCUUGGCUAAUUGCAUCAUCUUAGUGUAGAGACCGGGGAUCAAUACUUCCAAAAUAAACUUAUGAAAUGUAGUGUUUGUUUAAAGCUUUUGUAACCAACUAGACUGACCUAGCCGAUGACAAACAAGCGCAGGGCAUUGAUCUUUUGUUUCAAGUUCUCAUUGUAUCUGACAUACCCGGGGAGAAACAAACACAACAAAUUUGGUUCUUACCUACUCAAGGACCGAGCUCAUAACUAAGGAAUUCCUAGCUAUUAAAGUGAUGGAAACCCAAUGACUUCAUGUCACUACCUCUACCAUGCAUCCAAGUCUUUUAUAUGGAGUGAGCCUUCCCAAAGCCGAAGAUGAAUAGCCUAUUCCUCGUCUUAUUUCUUUAUAGUGGAAUUACUGAUUCCUAUUUCGUGCAUUAUUUGUGUCAUAUUUGUACGCUAGGGACUGGAAUAAUGUGGGUAUAGGCAUAGGAGCCACCAGGAACUAUCGAUGAUCAGCGGAAUAUGAAAACAACAACUCAACAAAGCCCCGCUGCAUCUUCCUCCAACUCUACCAUACCAGCUAUUUCCCAACCGGUCACUGACUGAUGACAAGUGUACUGCCUGGAUCCACCUAGUGCAGAUUCUUGAUGAUUAUUUGACAAAGGAUCUUCUAAGCAAGUCUCGGUUGAAUCUUCAUUCUUCUGGUCUUUUUUUUUUCUUUUGAGACCUAUAUAUACUGACGCAUUUUCUUUUGAGACAAAAAUGCGUUAGUCGAUUCUUCUAGGAACGAGAAGUGGUAGACAAGGUCGAGUCGGGUGUGUCUGGGCCUGAGAUGUGGACAUUGUGGACUGUCACGGUGUCGCCAUUGAGGGAUCAGACGGGAACUUGUCAGAGGCGAGGCACGGGAGAUUGGGUAGAGAAAUCAGGUUGGAUGCAAUCGACUCAAACUGUGCUCUGUUUGCUCUAAUCCAGAAAAGGUUGGAGGAACAAGAAACAUAUCAGGUCGUUUGUUUUCUGAUCAAACAGCUUGAAUGCAAUCGAUUGAAAUUGGAAAAAAAUUAAGUCGCCUCAGGCUUAUGCAAUCCUUUUUUGUUAGCCCUUGCUCAUCCGAUAAUCCUAGAGCAAUCAUGAAAGGUGGUGCAGGCGGGGCAGUUCAAACAAUUAUUCAAAUUUGGACAAUGAGGAGAAGGGGAAUAUUUUGAGAUUUUUCCUAAAGUUCAAUCUGCAAAAUAAUAAUCAAGAAGAUGUCCUCGAGGUGAAACUUAUGGCUGAUUUAUCUGGCCAAGAGACAUGGACGGUCAAGUUAACACAUUGAGUAAGAAAAUACUAUCAAUUAGGCGACUUUGUACCUCUUUUCUCUUGACUAAUUGCAUCAUAUUGGUGUAGAGACUGAAGAUCAAUACUUAUAAAAUAAACUUAUGAAACGUAGUGUUUGUCUAAAGCUCUUGUACCCUAAUAGACUGACCUGACAAACAAGUUCAGGGCAUUGAUCUUUUGUUUGAAGUUCUCAUUGUAUCUGACCUACCCGGGGAGAAACAAAUACAAGAAAUUUGGUUCGUACCUACUCCGGGAUCAAGCUUAUAACCAAGGAAUUCUUAGCUAUUAAAGUGACGGAAAACCAAUGACUUCAUGUCAGUACCUCUACCAUGCACCCAACUCUCUUAUAUACAGUGAGCCUUCCGAAAGCCAAAGAUGAAUAGCUUAUUCCUUGUCUUAUUUCUCGGUAGUGGAAUUAUUCCGUGCAUUAUUUGUUUCAUAUAUCUGCACGCUAGGGACUGGAAUAUUGUGGGUGUAGGCAUAGUAGGCACCAGGAACUAUCGAUGAUCAACGGAUAAUCAAAACAGCAACACGACACAGCCCCUCUGCAUCUUCCUCCUACUCUACCAUACCAGCUAUUCCCCCAACCGGUCACUAACUGAUGACAAGUGUACUGCCUGGAUCCACCUAGUGCAGUUGAAUCUUCAUUCUUCUGGUCUUUUUUCUUUUCUUUUCAAAACCUAUAUAUCCGACUUAGUGAAUGUUAAAUGUAACUUUUGCACUAAAUUUAUUUGAAAGCUCAACAUUCCCUUUAAAAAUCUGUAUACCGUAUCUACGUCGAGGAGUGGCUUUAACAAAUAGGACAAGCUAAAAUUACAAUGGUAGUAAGAUAAUGCAGGUUUGGCGAUCAAGAUGGAAAUACUAUACAUUUGUUUUUAUCUUCCCAUUUGCACGCUUUUUACGUUGGACUAUUUAAAACCGUCGCAAUGACAUUAUCCAAACCAAUGCAUAUGUAGAGCUGAAUAGGCAUCCCAGAUGGACCAACGAGUCAGAAACUAUGGAUGGGUAGGAAAACAGUAGACAGACAGACAGUUCUCAGGUGCAUACACUACACAAACACACGACGCGGAGCUCAUAGCAAGAACAGGUUCCAACUAAUUCGCAGGCAGAAAUCCACCUGGGCUAGCUAGCCCUGACUGAAUACCAGAAUAACAAGGAGGGUAAACCAUAGACCGAAUUAUGGCAAUAGGAAAAGGAAUCAACGAUUCCACAAACUAUGGAUGGGUAGGAAAACAGUAAACAGAGAGACAGGUCUCGGAUGCAUACGCUACACAGCAAACACACGAAAACACAGAGCUCACAUAAAGAGCGGAUGCACAGAUUAAUUCCAACGAAUUCGCAGACAGAAAUCCACCUUUUUUUUUGAAACGAAGACGCUAGACGCGUCCGGCUUUAAAUUAAUAAAGCCCUCAGGCACCAGUUCAGCAGGAUUCAACCCAUAGAAACAGAAAACAAGUUCAGUCCACGAGGACGACGAAACGACAUAAAGGUUCCACGCGAAGGCAACUGAACAACAUACAGCUCAUCCAACGCAAAGACCUAACUAGCAUGAAACCAUCUCCGAAGGCACCAAAAGGAUCAUCGAGUCGUCGUGUCUUGUCUAGCCAUCACCUGGAUAGUCUUGAUACGCGCCAUGGCCUCCGACAUACGCUCAGCAUCGCGCUCCUUCCCCAGCGGAGUCCAUGUCUGUAAGAAAAGGUGACAUUUGAAGAUCACAUCCGCAGGGUGGUUAGGGAAUAUUUUCUCAAUCGUAAAUUUAUUGCGCGUCGUCCAAAUAGCCCAAAGAAGCGCCCCUACGCAACGCCAAGCGAUUCUACUACUGGUCCCUCUCGUGGUUUUAAGGAUGGCAAUCAAGUCGUUCCCCGAGGCUGGGUUCCAGUUCGAGUGGAAGGCUUCCCUAACUGCGCUCCACGCGAACCUGGCUAGGUGACAUCUAAAAAAGACGUGAUUAGCAUCUUCACCUAGACCGCAGACAGUGCAGGUACCGUCCGCCGGACCGUUACGUUUUGCCACAUUGUCCGACGUGGGCAGCCUAUUCCUGAGCAUUUGCCACAUGAAGAUUUUAAUUUUCAAGGGCAGGCCUGCCUUCCACAGCCCCCUAGCUAUAUCAAGUGCUGUCCCUUCAGUAAGCUUGUUGUAUAAGGAUUUAACCGAGAAUUUCCGGGACGCUGUCAAGCUCCAUUCGACUAAAUCGUCGCCCAGCCCUAUCCGGUUGACACCCAUUUGAUGUACGAGGUCGUCCCAUGCCUCCCGUUCGGCAUUGGAAAGGGCCCUCAUAAAAUGUAUCGCUGGAGGGUCAGAACAGGCUGCCUCUCCCACUAGGAUGUUGCUGUCUGUGGCGAUCCGAAAGAGAUUGGGGUGACUUUGCCAAAGGGGAGAGGCUCCCAGCCAAUGGUCCAGCCAAAAGCGAGUGGAUUGACCAUUCUGGAUGUGGAAUUUGGCCCCGAUAGCAAAAGCUGGACGGACCGCUUGGAUCCCUUUCCAAAACACGGAUCCGCUAGCCGGGGCACUGAAAGGAUUCCCAUUUGGGAAAUACUUAGCCUUUAGCAGCUGAGCCCAAAGACUCGACUCGUUUUGGGCGAGCCGCCACCACCAUUUGGACAGUAGGGCUACGUUCAUAAGUUUGGAGUUUAGGAUCCCUAAACCUCCAAAUUUUUUUGGCCUACAGACAGCCGCCCACUUUACCAGGUGGUAUUUCCGCUUGAUACCAGUUCCUUCCCAAAAGAACCGGGAGCGCGGUGUAUCUAGCUUAGCGUGCACUCCAUCAGCUAAUAAGAACAUCCCCAUAGUGAAUAGGGGUAAGGAGGAGAGGCUCGAGUUAGUCAAAAUGAGCCUAGCCGCAGAAGACAUAAAACGCCCUCGCCACGGGCUAACCCUAUUGGCCACCUUCCCAUACAGCGGCUCCCACUCAGAAAUCGAUAAUUUGCGAUGGGAUAUAGGGAGCCCCAAAUACUUAAUUGGAAAGCUCCCAAGCUUGCAAUUAAGUAGAUUUGCGGCACGCCGACUUUGCUGGUCGUUCAUCCCCAUGGUGAUGACCUCGCUUUUGAGAAAAUUUAUUUUGAGUCCGGACAGGAUCUCAAAGGCUAAUAUCAAGAGCUUAAUCGAGGCGAUACUAUGAUCGUCGGGUUUAAACAGAAGCAAGGUAUCGUCUGCAUAUUGUAAAUGGGUCACACCGCCCGGGAUGAGGUGAGGAACGAGUCCCUUAACGUGACCAGCCACGCUGGCCUUGGACAACAUUGCUGCCAAAGCGUCUGCUACAAAAUUGAAGACGAGUGGGGAGAUGGGAUCGCCCUGUCUUAACCCUUUCCUAUUACGGAAAAACUUCCCCAUCUCGCCAUUGACAAUAACCGAGGUGUUGCCACUAGUGAUCAGAUGCAUGAUCCUGUGAACGAAACCCGCCUCAAAUCCCUUUUUGAGGAGGACUUCCCGCACAAACUCCCAGUUUACGCGGUCGUACGCUUUCUCAAAAUCGAGCUUGAGGAUAACGCCCUGUCCACGAGUACGUUUUAACUCAUGGAUUAUCUCCAUUAGCGCGAUAGGCCCUUCUAGAAUGUUUCUACCCUUAAGGAAAGCGGUCUGGCUCUUAUGGAUAACUCGUUGGGCCACCGGCGCUAACCUAGAGGCAUAGGCUUUGGCACAUAACUUGAAGGGAACAUUUAGGAGCAUGAUCGGACGGAACAGCUUGAUUGUAUCCGCCCCUUUGACCUUGGGAAUCAAACAGAUCGCCCCAUAGUUAAGUCUCGAGAGGUCAACCGUACCUAGGGCGAAACCAUUAAUAAUGGCUUGGAAGAGGUUUCUAAGUAAAGGCCAGAACUUUUUGAAGAACUCUACCGGCCAGCCAUCCGGACCUGGAGCCGUGUCGUUCUUCAUGCCUGCUAGCGCUAGGUCAAUCUCUUGUGGCGAGAAGGACAACAUGAGUGCAUCGUUUUCCUGCUGAGACACCCUCUCCCCCGGGCCCCAUAAGUCUUCCCUAAGACUUAAGACUUUCUCUUCGGCUGUUCCCAACAGCUCGACAAAGAAAUCAAAGAUGUGUUUAACUAUUUCAGAAUGGGCCACUAGGGUUCCAUGCUCCGACUGAAGUCUUAGGAUGGUACUCUUGCGUUUACGGCCAUUGGCGAAAGCCUGGAAGUAGCCAGUGUUGGCAUCACCUUUCACGACCCACUUGACGCCGCCCCUGCGUCGCCAGUAUUCCUCCUCUGCUCUAAGGAUAGCAAAGACCUGGUUUUCAAGAGAGUAGCGGUGCUCCCAUUCGUCGCCAGAGAAGGGUCUGGCAUCCGCCUGCGCGUCUAAGCUCGCGAUUUCUUCCACGAUGCGUUCCCUUUCCCUUUUGGACUCGCUGCCAUGGUUGGCCCCCCAUCCCCUGAGGAAAGCCCGCAGAGCCGCAGCCGCAGAGGACCAGAACUCUACUGGUCCUCUUUGACAUCCCACCUGGUCUCCAAUCAAGGCCCAGCGAGUCGUGACCAACUGACAGAAGCCCUCGUGUUCAAACCACGCCGUCUCGAAGAAAAAUCUACGGCUACGACGCCUACUGUCCUCCCCUGACGAAAGAAUAAGAGGUACAUGGUCUGAACCAAUACGCGUCUCGGCCACUAAGGUACAAAGGGGGAACAGGGCCUCCCAAUCGCUAGAACAAAAGACACGGUCGAGAACACAACGCACUGGAACCCGCUGUUUGUUAGUCCAAGUGUAUCUUGCACCUGUCCGCGCAAUUUCCCUAAGAGCCGCGGCUGCUAUCGCAUUGUUGAAAAGGAACACCCUAGCCCAGUCAAUGUUGCUGUUACUCUUGUCCGCCCCCGAGCGAAUCAAGUUGAAAUCCCCGCCCACAACGACGGGCAAGUUGGCCGCACGCUUGGCCCCGACCAAGGUUGUGAUUUCCCCCAAGAAAUCUGCCGACCUCGCGUGGUCCGCCGGCCCGUAGACGCUGACAAUUACCCAAGUAGCCAUGGAAACCCGGUGACGAACAGUAGCUGCAAUAAAGAAAAGACCCGGUUCCCACGCAAUAACAUCACAAAUAUCUCUAUUACAACCCAUCAGCUGGCCUCCAGAAUGCCCCAUGGAAGGGGUCCAGAACCAAUCAAAACGCUGCAAAGGAUCAAACGCCACUAAAUCCCUAAACGAGAAAUCAGCCUUAAUAGUCUCUUGGAGCGCAACAAAAUCAAUGAGUUAUUUAGACAUAUACUCUCUGAGCUGCGUACGCCGCCCCCCAUGGCCGCAUCCGCGAAUGUUCCAGAAUAUGUAUCUCAUCAGAUAACCCUAUUAUGCAGGCGAACUCCUCGGGAGCUCACCGCCUUGGCCACACGCUUCCUUGCCGGCGCUCGGCUGGAAGAAGGCAAGUCCGAGGCCACCCCGGCCUCGUCUUCCUCGGUGGGCAAAACUACUGCACCAGCCCCUACUGGUAUCGCAGCUUGACCGUCCGCGGGCUGCACGGCCACACAACGGGCGGCAGCAGCCGCCAGAGCGGCCUGAGCAUCCUCACGCGCGCGAACUAAGGGAAUGAUAUCCAAAGGCGAGGAAUCUAGUGCAACGCCACUAUCGUGAAGAAUCUCAGCUAGAUGAACAUCAGAAAAGGCAUUUAAGAUCUUAUAAGAGGGGGGAGGGUUACCUGUCACGUCCAUGUUCUUGUCAGCAGCACGGAGCUUGGCGCUUUCCAAUGAGGACAAGUCCCCGAGCUUGGCCUUGGCGCGCACGCUAGGAGCCCGGGUCGCCACCGGAGUCGCCCUCGAACGCUUGGCCUUGGUCGCCGGCCCUGGCGCCUCCAGAGCCGCACCCAGCUCUCCUCCCAGCGCAUCAGUCGCCCCCACCGCCUCCUUGCCUACCGUCUUGAUCCCUGGCUUCCUCCCUGCUGUCUUCUUGUUCUGCCGCCCGGAGCCGCUCGACAUCCUCUUGCCCGAGGCCGGGGUAAGGUCAGAAACCUCGCAUCCUGACCCCGAGCCCCCAACGCGCGCUGGAGAGGCAGUCAAAGGGUCUGACUCCUUCGACACCAGCGGCAAGGGCACCGGCUUGAUAGGGACUUGCAGGUUGGAGCCGUAUUGGUCGAAGGACUGAUCGAGUGAACGGGCAAGGGGGGAAAACUCACAGCAGUGUCUUGAGUAGCUAGCACACCCAACUUUUCCCAAGUUUCCGUGUCAAUGGAAGUAUCUGGAAUGCUCUCUUCGGGCUCCUCAUGCAGCUCGCCCAUCUCCACAUCUUGGCCAACCGGGGUCACCCCCGCGCCCGGUGCCACCUGCUGGUGCCCCCUAGCCACAGCGUUGUCCGUUGUCGCAUCCUUAACAACUUGCUUGGAGGGAAUCUUCGCGGCUGGCCCGGGUUUGAGCUUGAGCUGCCCGCCCGCACCAAGCUGGCUUACAGAGAGGGGAGCGGAUGGGCCCGCCCCAGACGCACCACUCCCGUCCCCCAGCCUCCGCGGCAGCCGCUCCACCUCCACCUUGAUCUGGUACCCUUCUUGGUUAAACCACACCUCGACCGUGCCGUUAAGCCUAGCCGGCGACUUGCAAGCCAGUUUCAUCCUCACAGGCCCCAACUUUAUGAGGGAAAGCUCGUCAACCACGAUCGGACGUCCCAGCAUCUUAAAAGCCUCCUUGAUACGCUCAAUCUUGCGAUGUUUCUCAGGGAUCCCGUAGAGCCGCACCCAAGCUUCUGGCAUCACCAUCAGGGGGAUCACCUCUUGCUCCACAUCACGCACCCUAGCAAUGAUAUCGUUGAUAGAAAGGAAGAGCUUGCCACUAGUCCGGGCCAUAUGCAGGAGAUCCGCUGAAGGGAACACGACCAUGAAAUCGUCCUCACCUACUUGGGUGACUUGCCAGUCCCAGUCCCCCGUGACCAUGUGGUUGAGCUCCUGAAUAAGGAUCCGCAGGCUCAGGCGUCCUGGCUCAGCCGAGAGGAUGGCGGCGUUGCCAACAGAGAGCUGCCGAGGACCCUCGGAUUCCUCCUCCUCUUCGAACUGCAGACAGAAGAAGCCUUCCCCAGCAAUAGCGCUACCCAUGAUCUGCAAACAAGGUUGCUGACCCCUCGUCGGGCAGUGCGCAGACGCGUGUCCCUCCUCCUUGCACAACACACACAAAGGCUUGAACUUACACUGCGACUGGAAAUGGCCAAGUCUCCCGCACUUGAAGCAUUCCACCUCCGGGGCCUUCGGCACAUCCUCCACUGGAAUGGGUUCAUCCGCUGUACCCUUCGAUCCAGGGAGGAGCGGCACCGACAGGGGGGCGGAAGCCGCCCUGGGCCUCUUGGCCAGUGGAUCCCCGUGGCCACCACCACAGUUAGGGUGAUCCAUUGGCUUCCGUUCCAACUCCCGCCGCCGCGCCUGCUCCUUCUUCUUCUUCUUUCUCUCCUGCUGCUGGAUCCACCAGGGGGGAGGAGGACCCCAAUCCCCCUCGCGCCCCACUUGCUCUUGGUAGCGGUCGAAUCUACCAAUUUGCCUCGCGCGCGUCUCCUUCGACGCCUUCUCCCGCAGGUCUCUCUCCCGCUUCCGCUCCCCAUCCAGGUCCUGGACCUCCAUCGGCCUCUUCUCCAUGCGCCGAUCGCUCAUCACCGCCGCUGCGAACGAAAUGGGAAGCGAAGGAGGGGGGGUGGGGCGAAUGGAUCUGGCGAGGUGUGCAAGACGCCGCACCUCGUUUCUGAUUGCGGGAAACCCUAGCGAGGGGGUGAGGCAGCCGCGCCGCAGCCAUAUAUAUGAGCCGUGGCUGGGCCAAGACCUAGACAGCGCUGGCGCGGGCCUGAUCGGGCCAGACGGCCUAGUAGAAUCCAAGCCACCGCCCGCAGGCUGAUGUGUGGGCCCCACUAGGCGAGACACACCCUCGACGCUCGUCCCAGGCACGGGGGCCGGCCCACAGCCCACUAGCCCGGCCUCGGCCCCAGGCCCAACAGCGCCAACCCUAGCCUGCGAGGAAACAGGGUCAUCGUCCCCCGCCGACAGCCCUGCCGCCGCCUCCACCUCCUCCGGCCCCUGACCGGCGGCCACCUGCGACGGCAGCCGCGGCCACUCAGCCGCCGAGGCCACUGGAGCGAGCAUCGCGGACGCCGCCCUCGACCGGAUCGCUCGCGCAGCAUCUCCAGGAGACGCCCCCCUGACCGGAGACUGCGAGGGCUGCCAUGCCCGAACUGCGGCGGCGCGCGAUCCCCGGCCACCCGGAGCGAAACGACGGCGCGCCCCAGCUGCGCCGCGCCCCUCGGCAUGCGCGAAGGCGACAAAAUCGCCCAACGACGGGCCCUCGGGCACCGGCCGCCCUGCCUCCGACUCCAGAUCCACACCGACCACAUCCUCCGGCUCCUCUCCUGCCAACGCCCAGAACCUACCUCCUACCGACGCCACCACCGGACCCUCCGCCGCGCCCCGCCGCGACCAAGCCGGGGAGGAGCCAGCACCACUCCUUACCACUUCCCAGCCCUCGCCGGCCGGAGCACUGGGCGACUGGGGCAAGGCGCCCGAGACGUCGCCAGAAGGAGCGCCUAACGGUCUGCUCGUCAUGUCCUCUCUAUGGUCGACCACAGAAAUCCACCUUAGCCCUGACUGAAUACCAGAAUAUAACAGGGAAGGUAAACCAUAAACCAAAUGAUUUCAUAGGAAAUAGAACUGUGAAUCAAGAACCAAACCUUGCCUGAUCUGGUUACCUUCUUUUGUAUACAUGCAUGUAUAAGUUUUCGCCACAAACAAGCACUUUCAUCCAUCAGGAAACAGAAAAAACUAUCUCUCAGACCAUAUGUAAACCCCUCCUCUACUUCCACUUAUCUCGCGAUGAAUAAAGCUGUAGGAACUUGCUAAGAGCUGACCGUGGAAACCAUUUCGUAUUCGCUCGACGGCUUCCGUCUCUUGGAGCAGAGGAAGAAGGCGCCCCCAAGCCACUGCUGAAAGAAGAGAAGCGUGGCCAGCAGGACCACCCCACAAGGUAUGACGAUGUCCCACGCGAGGCUGAAGAGGUCGUCACGAGAGCUCGCGUAGAUGUAGGAUGGCCUCAUGCUGUGCACGAAGUGAUGGGUCCUGUAUGCAUCGUAUGCAUGAGGCAGCGCACGCAGCAUGGUGCCCCCGCCAGAUAUUGCUUUCAGGCGGGAUUUGAUUGGCCCUCAUCUUAUGUCAUGGUAAAAUCUUUUAUACAGAUUGAAUUCGAUUAACCAGACACAAGGACGAGAUGAGUUUCGCUGGAGUCUCACUAUAUCUGGGUCCUUCAUAGUCGACUCGAUGUACCGUGCACUCACGCAUUCAGAGGUUCCAGUGGAUAAUAACAUGAAAAUUUAGAAGUCCAAGAUUUCACUAAAAAUUAAAAUCUUCAUGUGGUAUCUUCGGAGGGGAGUUGUGCUAACCAAAGAAAACCACAUCCGCCGCAACUGACAAGGAAGUAAGAAGUGUAGUUUUUGUGCUCAUGACGAGACAAUUAGACACCGCUUUUUUCAGUGCAUGGUUGUGCUUUCUACAUGGUCAGUCAUCCAAGUAGCGUCUAAUUUGUAUCCGCUGAUAAGUGUAGGCAAUAUUGUUAGUCAUUGGUUGGUCGGGUAUUCCAAAUAGGUUCAAAACGCUAAUAAAGGUGGGAGCGUAUGCCUUGUUAUGGCCGCUUUGGCUAUAUAAAAAUGAUUUGGUUUUUUAUAGCAAAAAAUGCUCUUUUUACAGAUUAUUUUCCGUUGUACGCACUUGCUUCGUAUGUGGUCUAUUCUACAUCAAAUGGAGUGCCAACCGCUGUUUAAGGCGGUGUGUACGCGGUUGGAGCUGGUGGCCAUGAAGAUCAUGCUUUGUAUGCGCUUGAUGUUACAUUUUGAGUUAACAAAUGCACCCUUUAUCGAAAAAAAGAAAAGGAUCUGCGAAUCAAGAACCAAGCCUUGACUGAUCUGGUUUUCCUUCUUUCUUACGCACGCAUGUAUAUUUUUUUCACCACAAACAAGCGCAAAUGUAAGGUAAAUAUCCAUUAGUCUGCUUGUACUUGUUAUCACCCUGAAUUUUUUAACAUUUCGGGCUGGUACGUUACAAGGUCGCCUGGAAUUGUCACGCUAACACUAGUAGCAAAUGUUCCCGAUAAAACUUAAAGCACAAGCAAGGUUCUUCAAAGUUAAAAUCUCUACAUUCGCCCUACGCAUAUACGCAUGUCACUUGUGAGAAAAGUGUGAAUGACCAAAUGGUGGACAGGCUAUGGUGGCACAAUGGGUUGGCCUGCUCGCAUUCCUAGUAAACAGAGUACACAUGAGUUGCUAGCACUUAUUUAACAAGAUACUAAAUUAUGCUAGACUUAGCAGGAUACUAACCCAUCUUAGCAUUGUAGUAGUAGCAUUAAUCUGAGAAAGAAAUGCAUAAAUGCAAGAUCUUACAGGAUCUGGUAAAUAGUUCUGUUGUAUGGUACUCCCUCCGUUCCAAAAUAGAUGACUCAACUUUGUAUACAAAGUUGAGUCAUCUAUUUUGGAACGGAGGGAGUAAUUCUUUGCUCACCCCUCCACUGCCCGGCACCAUGUGCGAUAGCUGCUGUCAUGCCAAGGUAUCACCUUUCGUCAUCCAAGCAGGGCAUAUGUACGGCGGAGGCAUGCAAUGUGCCUUGAUCCCGAUUGAUCAAGCCACUCAUGGUAGAUUCUGCCAACGUCAUGGGCAUAAGCUCUUUGUGGUGCGAGCUGAGAUAGAGGAGUUGAGCUCCUUCCAUGAAUGAUGUAGGUUUUGUCGACGUCAUGAGCAUAAGCUCUUUGUGGUGCGAGCUGAGACAUAGGAGUAGAGCUCCUUCCACGGCACGUAGAUGAUUCGCUAUUUUGGGAUACUCUUCGCAGAAAACGAAUGGUUUCGGAUUGUGCACUAUGAAAGGUGGUCGUGGUAAUAGCCGUUUGAAGAGUCUUUCAAGUUUGAACAAUGAAGAAAUCUUCUGAGAUUCUCCCGAAAGAAGACAUCGUCGAGGCGAGUAAACUAAUGAAUGGUUUAUCCGGGCAAGACAAUGGAGUGGGUAGUUAACAUGUCAGAAAACAGUGCCAAUUGAGUCAGAAGGUGUUGACAAUUGUGUGAAUUUGGUUCUACUUAUUUAGCUCGUUAGCCCUUUUAUGUUGGCUAGCUGUGUUUUCUUAGUGUAGAUAUUGAAGAUCAAAACUUUAGUUUUUUCUAACAAAUAUAUUCCUUGUUUAUUGCUCUUGUAGCCUAAUAGUCUGACCUAGCAGAGGACAAACAAACUCAGAAAGCUCACAUUCGUUUCAAGUUCUCGGUGUCUUUGACCUACCCAAGGAAAAACAAGCACAACUGAUUCGUCGUCUAUUUUAAGGUCCCAUAGGCUCUUACCUACCCAAGGACAAACAAGCUCAGGAGAAUAAUCAUUUGUAAAGUUCUUAUUGCCUACCGACACGAGGAGAAACCAGCACAAAAUUUCAUAGUUUGUUUAAGAUCUCAUAUGCUCUUACCUACUCAAGGACCAAAGCUCAUAACAAAGGAAUCCUUAGUUAUUGGCCUAACCGAGAACCAACGACAUCAUGUCAUUACCUCUACCAUGUACCCAAUUCUGCUCUUCUUCUAUAAAGAGCAGGCCUUCCCUAAGCCAAGCAUGAAUAGCUCACUCUUCUGAUUUCUUUGUACUGGAAUUGGUUAUUCCCAUUUCAUGCUUUAUUUAGUUGGUAUCUGCACACCACGGAUUAGAAUCUGAUAGUUGUUGGCAUGGGAGGCACCAAGAACUAUAGAUGAUCGAUGGGUAACAGGAAUUGCUAGAGUACACAACCCCUAUGCCUCUCACCCCUACUUCACCACACAACCCUCGGUCCUCUCACUUCUACCCCACCACAUCUGAACUAUUUUCCGCGCGGUCAUUGACUGGUGAUAAAUGGACCUGCUAGGUGAAAGGUUACCUCUGGUAAAAUCUAUGUAUUCCGGGGUGGUGGCAUGGCACGGGGAGGCUGGACCUGGAACGAUGGCCGCGGGCGACGAGGCAGCUGUGGGGUGAAGGUUCAUUCUGGGCGGUUGCGUUCGCGUGGCAGCCGCAGUCAGAGGUGAUCUGUAGCAAAAUUUUGGGCGUGAUGUAAAAUUGUUUGGGCACCAUAUACAUACCUAGGGCAUCAGCUGGAGCCCUUUUUCGCCCAAAGUGACUGAAAUGGAAAUUUUGUGGCACGGAGGCUAUUUUUUGUCAUAUGUUGGAGAUAGUAGAUAACUUGAGACUCAAAUUCGGGUGGAGGUGUGCUUUACGUUGGACUGUAUUAAACUGUCACAACGGUAUUGUCCAAAUCAAUGUAUAUGUAGAGCUGAAUAAUAUCUCACAUGGACAAUCGAGUCAAGGAUCUACUGCUAUGAGUAGAAAACAAACAGGUGCAAACAUGCGUACACUACACAGGAUACGCACGAAAACGCAAAGAACACAGAAAGAACAGACCAGAGUUUUCCCCUUUUUUUUAGUGGAAGAACAGAUUAGAUUAAUUUCAAGGAAUUAGUAGCAGAAAUUCACAUGGGCUAGCUGCCUAACAGUACCAUAGGAAAAGGAGCUGAGAAUCAAGAACCAAGCCUUGCCCUGAUCUGGUUUUCCUUCUUUCUACACACGCAUGUAUAACUUUUCGCCACAAACAAGCGCAAAUGUAAGGUAAUCCAUUUAUCACCAAAGUUACCUGUCAAAGAAAAUGCAGUUUCAGUUACCACUCCCAAAUGAUGCAAAGUAGGUGCGUGCACGGUGCCGCGGGUGUCGGCGUUCUGUAUGAAGUUGCCAAUGACCAUGCGCAUGUCGUGCCUGGCGUCAUCGACAGAUAGCGCCACCGUAUUCAUCGAUGCGACGCACAGUGUGUGUGUCCCAAUGACUUUGUUGUUGCAAACGCUGGCGCCAGUGAUCGCCUUGGAUCGUCAGAGGUUCCAAGUCUGUCUCUGAAAGAACCUGAAAGAAUGCCAGGGUGCAGGUUCCUACCAUCUUCCGUUUUCAAGGAUGGAAUGUAGUUUUGUUUAUAGUAGUUUUGAGAUGCCACUGCAUGGAUUUUAUUUUAUUUUGCAUUUUCAUCCCAAAGAUUAGCCGAUCUUAUAUUAACACUUUUUCUUCGGUACAACCUCUUGGCUUCAAACCAGUUUACUAGUGUGGCAGGUAAGUGCUUUCCUGAAAUUCUAUUCUUGGAUUGGAUGGAGAGAACUCUUUAAUCUUCAUGCUGCAUAUUGCUCAAUUUGUUUAGUGAUCUGAGAGAAGUUCUUGCUCCGUCUCUUGAGCCAUCUUCUGGUGCCUUAUACCUGGCAACAAUGUCCUGGGCAGGGUGGCUAUACAAGGUGGCAUUGUUCGUUCCAGUUAGUUUCAUCAAUGCCAAGGAAACCAAUUGCGGACGCAUAGUCAUGCAGCAUGGGUAGAGUAAUUGAGAUGCUCGUGGUAGUUAUUAGUAGUAAAAUUUGCAAAGCUUGUUUUUCAUGUCCCUCCUUAUCACAUUUUUUUCUCUUUUCUUUUCGUUUAGUUUUCUUCUCUUUUUGUGUCUGUGUUUCAUUUUUUUCAUGUAUGUAUCAAGUUUGUUUUGCUUUACUGCGUGCCAUGAUAUAAUAUGGCAUUAUUAGUAGUAAAAUGUGUCAGUCAAUUCUAUUCUACUGGGAACGAGAAGUAGCACCCAAGGCCGAGUCGGGUGAGCCUCAGCCUAAGAUGUGGACGUCAUGGACGGUCACGGCGUCGCCAAUGAGGGAUCAGACGAGAACCGGCCGGAGGCGAGGCAGGGCAGAUAGGGGAGAGAAAUCAGGUUGGAUGCAAUUUCUUAAUUAAAUGAUGUGGCAAUUUUUAUGCCUCUGUUUCGAAAGAAAAGAACUAGGAUGCAAUCGACAUGAUCUGUGCUCCGUCCGUUCUAAUCCAAAAAUGGUUCGAAGAAGAAACAUAUCUUUUCAUUCAUUUUCCGAUCCAACGAUUUGAAUGCAAUUGAUUGAAUUGGAAAAAAAUAAGUCGCCUAAGGUUUAGGCGGUCCUUUUUAAUUAGCCGUUGCAUGUCAGAUAAUCCUAGAGUAAUUGUGAAAGGUGGUUGUGACAGUGCCAGUUCAAACAAUUAUUCAAAUUUAGACAAUAAGGAAAAGGGGAAUCUUUUGAGAUUUUUCCUAAAGUUUAGGCCGCAAAAUAAUAAUCAAGAGAACGUCCUCGAGGUGAAACUUAUGACCGAUUUAUCUGGCCAAGAGACGUGGACGGUCUAAUUAACACAUUGAGUCAGGAAAUACUAUAAAUUAGGCGAAUUUGUACCUCUUUUCUCUUGGCUAAUUGCAUCAUCUUGGGGUACCUCUUUUCUCUUGGCUAAUUGCAUCAUCUUGGGGUAGAGACCGAAGAUGAAUACAUCUAAAGAAACUAAUGAAAUGUAGUGUUUGUUUAAAGCUCUUGUAGCCUAAUAGACUGACCUAGCCGAGGACAAACGAGCUCAGGGCAUUGAUAUUUUCUUUGAAGUUCUCACUGUAUCUGAACUACCAGGAAGAAACAAAUACAACAAAUUUGGUUCUUACCUACUCGAGGACCGAGCUCAUAACCAAGGAAUUCUUAGCUAUUAAAGUGAUGGAAAACCGUUGACUUCAUGUCACUACCUCUACCAUGCACCCCAAGUCUUUUAUAUGGAGUGAUCCUUCCCAAUGUCAAAGAUGAAUAGCUUACUGAUUCCUCGUCUUAUUUCUCUGAAGUGAAAUUAUGGAUUCCUAUUCCAUGCAUUAUUUGUUUCAUAUUUGUACGCUAGGGACUGGAAUAUUGUAGGUGGAGGCAUAGGAGGCACCAGGAACUAUCAAUGAUCAUCGGAUAAUCAAAACAUCAACUCGACACAGCCCUGUUGCAUCUUCCUCCUACUCUACCAUACUUUCUUUCUCUUAGCCGGUCACUGACUGAUGACAAGUGUACUGGCUGGAUCCACCUAGUGCAGUUUCUAAUUUUAGAUUGGGUGGAUCUAAGCAAGCAUCUGUUGAAUCUUCAUUCUUCUCCACCGCAAAAAAAAAAUCUUCAUUCUUCUGGAGCCAAAUUUUUGUUGCCCAAAAUGACCCAAAUGUCUGUUUUUUGUCAUGGAGGCUAUUUUUGGUUAUAUGUUGGAGGUGCUCUUAGUAGAUAGCUUAAGACUCAAAUCCGGGUGGGGGUGUGCUUUACGUUGGAAUCUUUUAAACGGACGCAAUGACAUUUUCCAAACAUGUGUAGAGCUGAGUAAUACUAUGACUCUCACAUGGACCAUUGAGUCAAGGAUCUACUAUACUACGAGUGAGUAGAAAAUAGUAGACAGACGAACAGGUCUCACAUGGUUAUUACUAGUAAAAUUUGCAAAGCUUGUUUUUCAUGUCUCUCCUUAUACAUUUUUUUUAUCUUUUCUUUUUAUUUAGUUUGCUUCUCUUUUUGUGUCUGCAUGUCAUUUUUUCAUGUGUGUAUCUGGUUUGCUUGGCUUUAUUGUGUGUUAUUAGUAGUAAAAUGUGUCAAUCGAUUCUACUCUAUUGGGAACGAGAAGUAGCACCCGAGGCCGAGUCAGGUGAGCCUCAGCCUAAGAUGUGGACGUCCUGGACAGUCAAGGCGUCACCAAUGAGGGAUCGGACCGAGGCGAGGCACAGGAGAUAAGGGAGAGAAAUCAGGUUGGAUGCAAUCUCUUAAUUAAAUGAUGAGGCAAAUUUGAUGGCUCUGUUUCGGAAAAAAAAGUUGGAUGCAAUCGAUUCAAACUGUGCUUUGUUCAUUCUAACCCAGAAAAUGGUUGGAGGAAGAAGAAACAUAUCUGGUCGUUUUCCGAUCGAACGAUUUGAAUGCAAUUGAUUGAAAUUGGAAAACAAUUAAGUCGCCUCAGGUUUAGGCGGUCCUUUUUUUUUAUAGGCGGUCCUUUUUAAUUAGCCGUUGCACAUCAAAGUAAUUGUGAAAGGUGGUCGUGACAGUGCCAGUUCAAAUAAUUAUUCAAAUUUAGACAAUAAGGAAAAGAGGAAUCUUUUGAGAUUUUUCCUAAAGUUUAGUCCGCAAAAUAAUAAUCAAGAGGACGUCCUCGAGGUGAAACUUAUGACCGAUUUAUCUCGCCAAGAGACAUGGAUGGUCUAAUUAACACAUUCAGUCAGAAAAUACUAGUAUCAAUUAGGCGAAAUGUACCUCUUUUCUCUUGGCUAAUUGCAUCAUCUUGGUGUAGAGACCGAAGAUCAAUACUUCUAAAAUAAACUUAUGAAAUGUAGUGUUUGUUUAAAGCUCUUGUAGCCUAAUAGACUGGCCUAGCCGAGGACAAACAAACCCAGGGCAUUGAUCUUUUGUUUGAAGUUCUCAUUGUAUCUGACAUACCCGGGGAGAAACAAACACAACAAAUUUGGCUCUUACCUACUCGGGGACCGAGCUCAUAACCAAAGGAAUUCUUAGCUAUUAAAGUGAUGGAAAACCAAUGACUUCAUGUGACAACCUCUACCCAAGUCUUUUUAUAUGGAGUGAGCCUUCCCAAAGCCAAACACACGAAUCAAUAAUAUCACUACAGAGAAAUAAGACAAGGAAUCGAUAAUAUCACUACAGAGAAAUAAGACAAGGAAUCGAUAUGAAAAGGAAUCAACGAUUCAAGAAACUAUGGAUGGGUAGGAAAACAGUAAACAGAGAGACAGGUCUCGGAUGCAUACACUGCACAGCAAACACACGAAAAAGCAGAGCUCACAUAAAGAACGGAUGCAGAUUAAUUCUAACGAAUUCGCAGACAGAAAUCCACCUGGGCUAUUAGCUAGCCCUGACUGAAUACCAGAAUAACAGGGAAGGUAAACCAUAAACCAAACAAUAGCAUAGGAGAAAGAACUGUGAAUCAAGAACCGAACCUUGCCUGAUCUGGUUUCCUUCUAUUGUAUACAUGCAUGUAUAAGUUUUCGCCGCAAACAAGCGCCAAUGUGGGGUAAAUAUUCAUCCAUCAGGAAACAGAAAAAACUAACUCCCAGACUAUAUGUAAACCCCUCCGCUACUUCCACUUAUCUCGCGAUGAAUAAAGCUGUAGGAACUUGCUAAGAGCUGACCGUGGAAACCAUUUCGUAUUCGCUCGACGGCUUCCGUCUCUUGGAGCAGAGGAAGAAGGCGCCCCCAAGCCACUGCUGAAAGAAGAGAAGCGUGGCCAGCAGGACCACCCCACAAGGUAUGACGAUGUCCCACGCGAGGCUGAAGAGGUCGUCGCGAGAGCUCGCGUAGAUGUAGGAUGGCCUCAUGCUGCGCACAAAGUGAUGGGUCCUGUAUGCAUCAUAUGCAUGAGGCAGCGCACGCAGCAUGGUGCCCCCGAUGUAAAACACUGGGG